rnacentral:sRNA from 1 species
GGAAUACAAAAGAGUCAGAGAUAUCAUAAUAUGGGAACCCUUGAACUCGGGGAAGCUGUGGAUGACAAGUGUGACACGAAAUUAGAUGUCAUCAGACAAGAAAUAGAGGACUUGACGAUAGAACAAUGUGGCAGAUUUGUUUGU